rnacentral:rRNA from 1 species
GACGAACGCUGGCGGCGUGCUUAACACAUGCAAGUCGAACGGAAAGGCCCUGCUUGCAGGGUACUCGAGUGGCGAACGGGUGAGUAACACGUGGGUGAUCUGCCCUGCACUUCGGGAUAAGCUUGGGAAACUGGGUCUAAUACCGGAUAGGAACCAUCUUUAGUGUGGUGGUUGGAAAGUUUUUUCGGUGUAGGAUGAGCUCGCGGCCUAUCAGCUUGUUGGUGGGGUAAUGGCCUACCAAGGCGGCGACGGGUAGCCGGCCUGAGAGGGUGUACGGCCACAUUGGGACUGAGAUACGGCCCAGACUCCUACGGGAGGCAGCAGUGGGGAAUAUUGCACAAUGGGCGCAAGCCUGAUGCAGCGACGCAGCGUGGGGGAUGAAGGCCUUCGGGUUGUAAACUCCUUUCGCUAGGGACGAAGCUUUGUUGUGACGGUACCUAGAUAAGAAGCACCGGCUAACUACGUG